ACAGCUGAAGCAACAUUAGCCAGGUAAAACAACAGCUGAAGCAACAUUAGCCAGGUAAAACCACAGCUGAAGCAACAUUAGCCAGGUAAAACAACAGCUGAAGCAACGUUAGCCAGGUAAAACAACAGCUGAAGCAACCUU